UACAUGAUACCCCGAUAUUGGCUGUUUUCACAUGGAAUGACCCAUUGAUAGAAAUUCAAUAUCAUGCAUCCCUACAAUCCUUGGCUCACACUGGAGUGUGUUGUAAUGUACUCUCUGUGUGUGUGUGUGUGUGUGUGUGUGUGUGUGUGGUGGAGAGAGGAAUGACGCAGGAAAAGCAGACUGUAAAGAGAUGAUGAGUGUGUUUGUGGUUUGUGUUUGUGUGUGAGUGAGAGAGUUUAAAUGCUGAUAUUUGUAAACUAUGAAGAACCACUGGGGGCUACUGGUUGUUACUUCUUAUUGUUAAUGCCGAGUUGUUUGCAGAAUGGUUUAGUUUUCCGCAACAUCACCAACACUUCUACCACCUUCUCCACUUCAUCUGAAUUUCUGUCCUGCUCUACUGUAUUUUCGCAAAAAAUUACCUUCUCAGACAGUAUGUGAGUGUUUGCAAACGUUCGCCAAAAACGGCAGAAACCUGUUUGCAAACGUUUGCAAAUGUUCGCCUAUGUUUGCAAAUGUUGAACACACCUCUGGCCUUGUGAAAGCUGUGAAAGGAAGAGCAGUUGUGCUGUGUUGUCCAAAGCUACAAGAAACCAUGAUGCACACAAUU